GACGAACGCUGGCGGCGUGCUUAACACAUGCCAGUCGAACGGAAAGGCCCUGCUUUUGUGGGGUGCUCGAGUGGCGAACGGGUGAGUAACACGUGAGUAACCUGCCCUUGACUUUGGGAUAACUUCAGGAAACUGGGGCUAAUACCGGAUAGGAGCUCCUGCUGCAUGGUGGGGGUUGGAAAGUUUCGGCGGUUGGGGAUGGACUCGCGGCUUAUCAGCUUGUUGGUGGGGUAGUGGCUUACCAAGGCUUUGACGGGUAGCCGGCCUGAGAGGGUGACCGGCCACAUUGGGACUGAGAUACGGCCCAGACUCCUACGGGAGGCAGGAGGGGGGAAUAUUGCACAAUGGGCGGAAGCCUGAUGGAGCCACGCCGCGUGGGGGAUGACGGCCUUCGGGUUGGAAACCGCUUUCGCCUGUGACGAAGCGUGAGUGACGGUAAUGGGUAAAGAAGCACCGGCUAACUACGUG
rnacentral:rRNA from 1 species